UUACGGCCAUAUUGCGUUGAUACACCGGUUCUGUACGAUCACCGCAGUUAAGCAACACCGAGCCUGGUCAGUACAUAGAUAGGUAACCGCUUGGGAAUUCCAGCUGCUGUAAG